ensembl:lncRNA
CACGGCUUUGAUUGUGUGUGUGUAUCAGUGUGUUUGAUCAGCAGAGGACGAGGACCUGAAGGAAGACUUGACGAUGACUCGUGUGAUCUUCCUCCUUCUUGUUGCAACUUGCACGCAAUGGACAUCAGCAACAGCAACAACAACAACAACAACAGGAACAACAACCGGAACAACUACCGACAUGCCAACAACUACAAAAAUGGAAAGUCCAACAACAACCACAACAGCAACAACAACUCCAACAACAUCGACAACUGACACUCCAGCAACAACAACAACAACUGACACUUCAACAACAACGCUGACAACUGACACUCCAGCGACAACACCAACACCUGACACGCCAACAACAACUGACACUCCAGUGACAACAACAAUGACAACUGACACUCCAACAGCAACAACUGAUACUCCAACAACCACAACAACAGCAACAACUGACACUCCAACAACAAUAACAACAUCGACAACUGACACUCCAGUGACAACAAAACCGACAACUGACACUCCAACAACGACAACUGACACUACAGUGACAUCAACACCGACAAUUGACACUCCAACAACAAUGACAACUGACACUCCAACAGAAACAACUGACACUCCAACGACAACAACACCAACAACUGACACUCCAACAACAAUAACACCAACUGACACUCCAGCAACAACAACAACACCGACGACUGACACUCCAGUGACAACAAAACCGACAACUGACACUCCAACAACAACAACUGACACUUCAACAACAACGCCAACAACUGACACUCCAACAACAGACACUCCAACAACAACAACAACUGACACUCCAGUGACAUCAACACCGACAAUUGACACUCCAACAACAAUGACAACUGACACUCCAACAGCAACAACUGACACUCCAAUAACGACAACAACACCAACAACUGAUACUCCAACAACCACAACAACACCAACAACUGAUAUUCCAACAACCACAACAACUGACACUCCAACAACAACAACAAUAACAACAGGUGACACUCCAGCAACAACAACAACAACAACAUUGACAACUGACACUUCAAUGAUAACAACAACAUCAACAACUGACACUCCAUCAACAACAUGGACAACUGAUAUUCCAACAACAACACCAACAACUGACACUCCAUCAACAACAACAUCGACAACUGACACUUCAAUGAUAACAACAACAUCAACAACUGACACUCCAUCAACAACAACAUGGACAGCUGAUAUUCCAACAACCACAACAACACCAACAACUGACACUCCAACAGCAACAACAACAGCUGACACUCCAGCAGCAACAGCAACACCAACAACUGACACUCCAACAACAACAACAACUGACAUUCCAGUGACAGCAACACCGACAACUGACACUCCAACAACAAUGACAACUGACACUCCAACAACAACAGCUGACACUUCAACAACAACGCUGAAAACUGACACUCCAGCGACAACACCAACAACUGACAAUCCAACAACAACAACAACUGACACUCCAGUGACAACAACACCGACAACUGACACUCCAACAACAAUGACAACUGACACUCCAACAGCCACAUCUGACACUCCAACAACGACAACAACACCAACAACUGAUACUCCAACAACCACAACAACACCAACAACUGGCACUUCAAUGAUAACGACAUCAACAACUGACACUCCAUCAACAACAUCGACAACUGGCACUUCAAUGAUAACACCAACAUCAACAACUGACACUCCAUCAACAACAACAUGGACAACUGAUACUCCGACAACCACAACAACACCAACAACUGACACUCCAACAGCAACAACAACAGCUGACACUUCAGCAGCAACAACAACAGCUGACACUCCAGCAACACCAGUAACUGACACUCCAACGACAACAGCAACAACUGACACUCCAACAACCACAACAACACCAACAACUGACAAUCCAACAGCAACAACAACAGCUGACACUCCAGCAACAACAACAACACCGACAACUGACACUUCAAUGAUAACAACAUCAACAACUGACACUCCAUCAACAACAACACCGACAACUGAUACUUCAAUGAUAACAGCAACAACAACAGCUGACACUCCAGCAGCAACAGCAACACCAACAACUGACACUCCAACAACAACAACAACUGACAUUCCAGUGACAGCAACACCGACAACUGACACUCCAACAACAAUGACAACUGACACUCCAACAACAACAGCUGACACUUCAACAACAACGCUGAAAACUGACACUCCAGCGACAACAACACCAACAACUGACAAUCCAACAACAAUGACAACUGACACUCCAACAGCCACAUCUGACACUCCAACAACGACAACAACACCAACAACUGAUACUCCAACAACCACAACAACAGCUGACACUUCAGCAGCAACAACAACAGCUGACACUCCAGCAACACCAGUAACUGACACUCCAACGACAACAGCAAUAACUGACACUCCAACGACAACAGCAACAACUGACACUCCAACAACCACAACAACACCAACAACUGACAAUCCAACAGCAACAACAACAGCUGACACUCCAGCAACAACAACAACACCGACAACUGACACUUCAAUGAUAACAACAUCAACAACUGACACUCCAUCAACAACAACACCGACAACUGAUACUUCAAUGAUAACAGCAACAACAACAGCUGACACUCCAGCAGCAACAGCAACACCAACAACUGACACUCCAACAACAACAACAACUGACAUUCCAGUGACAGCAACACCGACAACUGACACUCCAACAACAAUGACAACUGACACUCCAACAACAACAGCUGACACUUCAACAACAACGCUGAAAACUGACACUCCAGCGACAACAACACCAACAACUGACAAUCCAACAACAAUGACAACUGACACUCCAACAGCCACAUCUGACACUCCAACAACGACAACAACACCAACAACUGAUACUCCAACAACCACAACAACACCAACAACUGGCACUUCAAUGAUAAAAACAACAUCAACAACUGACACUCCAUCAACAACAACAUGGACAACUGAUACUCCGACAACCACAACAACACCAACAACUGACACUCCAACAGCAACAACAACAGCUGACAUUUCAGCAGCAACAACAACAGCUGACACUCCAGCAACACCAGUAACUGACACUCCAACGACAACAGCAAUAACUGACACUCCAACGACAACAGCAACAACUGACACUCCAACAACCACAACAACACCAACAACUGACAAUCCAACAGCAACAACAACAGCUGACACUCCAGCAACAACAACAACACCGACAACUGACACUUCAAUGAUAACAACAUCAACAACUGACACUCCAUCAACAACAACACCGACAACUGAUACUUCAAUGAUAACAACAACAUCAACAACUGACACUCCAUCAACAGCAACAUGGACAACUGAUACUCCAACAACCACAACAACUGACACUCCAACAGCAACAACAACAGCUGACACUCCAGCAGCAACAGCAACACCAACAACCACACCGACAACUGACACUCCAACAACAACAAUGCCGGCAACUGCCACUCCAACAACAACAACACCGACAACUGCCAUUCCAAAAACAACAUCAACAACUGACACUCCAAUGACAACACCAACAGCUGACACUCCAGAAACAACAACACUGACAACUGACUCUGCAACAGCAACAACAACUGACUCUCCAGCAACAGCAACAACACCGACAACUGACACUGCAACAACAGCAACAACAACAACACCGACAACUGACACUCCAGCAACAACAACAACACAGACAACUGACACUCCAACAAUAACAUCGACAACUGACACUUCAAUGAAAACAACAUCAACAACUGACACUCCAUCAACAACAACACCGACAACUGACACUUCAAUGAUAACAACAUCAACAACUGACACUCCAUCAACAACAACAACAUCAACAACUGACACUCCAACAGCAUCAACAGCAGCUGACACUCUAGCAGCAGCAACAACAACAUCAACAACUGACCCUGCAACAACAACACUGACAACUGACACUCCAACAAAAACAACGCCGACAACUGCCAUUCCAACAACACCGAUAACUGACACUCCAACAACAACAUCGAUAACUGACACUCCAACAACAACACCAACAACUGGCACUCCAACUACAACAACUGACACUCCAGCGACAACAACACCAAUCACAGACACUCCAACAACAAAAACACCAACAACUGACACUGCAAUAACAACAACACCUGACACUGUAACAAAAACACCGAUAACUGACACUGCAACAACAAGAACCGACAUUGCAGCGACAACUCCAACAACUGACACUCCAACAACAAAAACACCGACAACUGACACUCCAACGACAAUAACAUCGACAACUGACACUCAAACAACAACAACAACAACUGACACUCCUGCGUCAACAACACUGACAACUGACACUGCAACAACAAAAAUAACAACGACAACCGACACUCCAACAGCAACAACAACACUGACAACUGACUCUGCAACAGCAACAACAACUGACUCUCCAGCAACAGCAACAACACCGACAACUGACACUGCAACAACACCGACAACUGACACUCCAGCAACAACAACAACACCGACAACUGACACUCCAAUAAUAACAUUGACAACUGACACUCCAACAACAAAAAUAACAACAACUGACACUCCAGCGACAACAACAUCAACAACUGACACUGCAACAACAACAACACAGACACCUGACACAACAACAUCAAUAACUGAAACUCCAACUACAACAGACACAACAAACAACAUCCCAACGAGUUUGUCCGGAGUCCCAUCAGCCGUUAGCGUGACUCCGCCCUCACAGACCUACACUACUAGUGUAUCUGUCAGGGAAACCACCACCAGCAGGACUUUCCCACACACAGCUGCAGCUGGUCUGUUUCCACAGACAGACUUCAGUCCAGCAUCAGCAGGAACAACCAUCAUUGGUGUCCCCCCAGAAACAACAAGCCAAUCAGCAGCCAAUAAGCCUGAAACCACUUGCUCCUGCGCUGCAGAGACGUCUCCUCUGCUUGUCCUCUUGCUGCUGCUGUCUGUAGUUCAUCUGUAGUCUGUGACUCUUGUAUGUUCCCAGUGCACAGCUCAC